rnacentral:rRNA from 1 species
UGAACGCUAGCGGCAGGCCUAACACAUGCAAGUCGAGGGGCAGCACGAAUUAGCUUGCUAAUUUGGUGGCGACCGGCGCACGGGUGCGUAACGCGUAUGCAACCUACCUUAUACAGGGGUAUAGCCCGGAGAAAUUCGGAUUAAUCCCCCAUGGUACUGAGACAUCGCAUGGUGAUUCAGUUAAAGCUUCGGCGGUAUAAGAUGGGCAUGCGUCCUAUUAGCUAGAUGGUAAGGUAACGGCUUACCAUGGCUACGAUAGGUAGGGGGCCUGAGAGGGUGGUCCCCCACACUGGUACUGAGACACGGACCAGACUCCUACGGGAGGCAGCAGUGAGGAAUAUUGGUCAAUGGGCGCAAGCCUGAACCAGCCAUGCCGCGUGCAGGAAGAAUGCCCUAUGGGUUGUAAACUGCUUUUAUUUGGGAAUAAACCUUUCUACGUGUAGGAAGCUGAAGGUACCAAAUGAAUAAGCACCGGG